rnacentral:rRNA from 1 species
GAUGAACGCUGGCGGCGUGCCUAAUACAUGCAAGUCGAGCGAACGGACGAGAAGCUUGCUUCUCUGAUGUUAGCGGCGGACGGGUGAGUAACACGUGGAUAACCUACCUAUAAGACUGGGAUAACUUCGGGAAACCGGAGCUAAUACCGGAUGAUAUUUUGAACCGCAUGGUUCAAAAGUGAAAGACGGUCUUGCUGUCACUUAUAGAUGGAUCCGCGCUGCAUUAGCUAGUUGGUAAGGUAACGGCUUACCAAGGCAACGAUGCAUAGCCGACCUGGGAGGGUGAUCGGCCACACUGGAACUGAGACACGGUCCAGACUCCUACGGGAGGCAGCAGUAGGGAAUCUUCCGCAAUGGGCGAAAGCCUGACGGAGCAACGCCGCGUGAGUGAUGAAGGUCUUCGGAUCGUAAAACUCUGUUAUUAGGGAAGAACAUAUGUGUAAGUAACUGUGCACAUCCUGACGGUACCUAAUCAGAAAGCCACGGCUAACUACGUG